GACGAACGCUGGCGGCGUGCUUAACACAUGCAAGUCGAACGGAAAGGCCCUGGUUUUGUGGGGUGGUGGGGGGGCGAAGGGGGGAGAAACACGUGAGUAACCUGCACUUGACUGUGGGAUAACCUAAGGAAACUGGGGAUAACACGGGAUAGGAGCUCCUGCCGAAAGGUGGGGGCGGGAUAGAUUCGGCGGUUGGGGGUGGACUGGCGGCGUAUCAGCUUGUUGGAGGGGUGGUGGCAUACCAUGGCCUUGCACGGUAGCAGGCCUGGGCGGGUCACCGGCCACACUGCGACUGAGAUACGGCCCAGACUCCUCCCGGACGCAGCAGUGGAGAAUAUUGCACAAUGGGCGGAGGGCUGGUGCAGCAACGCCGCGUGCGGGAUGACGUCCUUCCGGUUGUAAUCCGCUUUCGCCUGUGACGAGGCGUUAAUGACGGUAAUGUGUAAAGAAGCACCGGCUAACUACGUG
rnacentral:rRNA from 1 species